rnacentral:rRNA from 1 species
CAGUCGCCGCGGGAAUACGUAGGUGGCAAGCGUUGUCCGGAAUUAUUGGGCGUAAAGCGCGCGCAGGCGGAUAGGUCAGUCUGUCUUAAAAGUUCGGGGCUUAACCCCGUGAUGGGAUGGAAACUGCCAAUCUAGAGUAUCGGAGAGGAAAGUGGAAUUCCUAGUGUAGCGGUGAAAUGCGUAGAUAUUAGGAAGAACACCAGUGGCGAAGGCGACUUUCUGGAUGAAAACUGACGCUGAGGCGCGAAAGCCAGGGGAGCGAACGGGAUUAGAUACCCCUGUAGUCCCUGUCUCUUAUACA